rnacentral:rRNA from 1 species
GACGAACGCUGGCGGCGUGCCUAAUACAUGCAAGUAGAACGCUGAAGCGAGGAGCUUGCUCUUCUUGGAUGAGUUGCGAACGGGUGAGUAACGCGUAGGUAACCUGCCUGGUAGCGGGGGAUAACUAUUGGAAACGAUAGCUAAUACCGCAUAAAAUUGAUUAUUGCAUGAUAAUUAAUUGAAAGAUGCAACUGCAUCACUACCAGAUGGACCUGCGCUGUAUUAGCUAGUUGGUGAGGUAACGGCUCACCAAGGCGACGAUACAUAGCCGACCUGAGAGGGUGAUCGGCCACACUGGGACUGAGACACGGCCCAGACUCCUACGGGAGGCGGCAGUAGGGAAUCUUCGGCAAUGGGGGGAACCCUGACCGAGCAACGCCGCGUGAGUGAAGAAGGUUUUCGGAUCGUAAAGCUCUGUUGUAAGAGAAGAACGGGUGUGAGAGUGGAAAGUUCACACUGUGACGGUAUCUUACCAGAAAGGGACGGCUAACUACGUG